UACAGAGGGCUCAAGCGUUGUUCGGAUUCAUUGGGCGUAAAGGGUGCGUAGGUGGCGCCGUAAGUCGGGUGUGAAAUCUCGGAGCUUAACUCCGAAACUGCAUUCGAUACUGCCGUGCUUGAGGACUGGAGAGGAGACUGGAAUUUACGGUGUAGCGGUGAAAUGCGUAGAUAUCGUAAGGAAGACCAGUGGCGAAGGCGGGUCUCUGGACAGUUCCUGACGCUGAGGCACGAAGGUCAGGGGAGCAAACGGG
rnacentral:rRNA from 1 species